UACAGAGGUCCCAAGCGUUGUUCGGAUUCACUGGGCGUAAAGAGCGCGCAGGCGGUCGUUCAAGUCGCGUGUGAAAGCCCCCGGCUCAACUGGGGAGGGUCACGCGAUACUGAUCGACUCGAAGGCAGGAGAGGGUAGUGGAAUUCCCGGUGUAGCGGUGAAAUGCGCAGAUAUCGGGAGGAACACCAAUGGCGAAGGCAGCUCGCUGGGACGUUACUGACGCUGAGACGCGAAAGCGUGGGGAGCAAACAGG
rnacentral:rRNA from 1 species